rnacentral:rRNA from 1 species
UACGUAGGGCGCAAGCGUUGUCCGGAAUUAUUGGGCGUAAAGAGCUCGUAGGCGGUUUGUCGCGUCGGCCGUGAAAACUUGGGGCUUAACUCCAAGCUUGCGGUCGAUACGGGCAGACUUGAGUUCGGCAGGGGAGACUGGAAUUCCUGGUGUAGCGGUGAAAUGCGCAGAUAUCGGGAGGAACACCGAUGGCGAAGGCAGCACUCUGGGCCGGUACUGACGCUGAGGAGCGAAAGCGUGGGGAGCGAACAGG